GUAAGGAAUAUUGGUCAAUGGACGAAAGUCUGAACCAGCCAUGCCGCGUGAAGGAUGAAAGCCCUCUGGGUUGUAAACUUCUUUUAUCUGGGACGAAAAAAGGGUAUUCUUACUCACUUGACGGUACCAGAGGAAUAAGCACCGGCUAACUCCGUGCCAGCAGCCGCGGUAAUACGGAGGGUGCAAGCGUUAUCCGGAUUCACUGGGUUUAAAGGGUGCGUAGGUGGGUAUUUAAGUCAGUGGUGAAAUCUCCGAGCUUAACUCGGAAACUGCCAUUGAUACUAUUUACCUUGAAUGCCCUGGAGGUAAGCGGAAUAUGUCAUGUAGCGGUGAAAUGCUUAGAUAUGACAUAGAACACCAAUUGCGAAGGCAGCUUACUACGGGGUGAUUGACACUGAGGCACGAAAGCGUGGGGAGCAAACAGGAUUAGAAACCCUAGUAGUCC
rnacentral:rRNA from 1 species